rnacentral:rRNA from 1 species
CUAUCCAUGGCCAGGUUGAAGGUGUGGUAACACACACUGGAGGACCGAACCGACUAGUGUUGCAAAAUUAGCGGAUGAGCUGUGGAUAGGGGUGAAAGGCUAAACAAAUCUGGAGAUAGCUGGUUCUCCCCGAAAACUAUUGAGGUAGUGCCUCGUGUAUGACUCCAGGGGGUAGAGCACUGUUAUGGCUAGGGGGACAUGGCGUCUUACCAAACCAUGGCAAACUCCGAAUACUUGGAAGUUUGAGCACGGGAGACAGAGCACCGGGUGCUAACGUCCGGACUCAAAAGGGAAACAACCCAGACCGCCGGCUAAGGUCCCUAAUAUUGACUAAGUGGAAAACGAAGUGGGAAGGCUAAGACAGUCAGGAAGUUGGCUUAGAAGCAGCCAUCCUUCAAAGAAAGCGUAAUAGCUCACUGAUCGAGUCUUCCUGCGCGGAAGAUGUAACGGGGCUAAGUCAAUAACCGAAGCCGCGGAUUCACGACUUGUCGUGAGUGGUAGGGGAGCGUUCUGUAAGCCUGCGAAGGCGGUUCGCAAGGACUGCUGGAGGUAUCAGAAGUGCGAAUGCUGACAUGAGUAACGUUAAAGCAGGUGAAAAGCCUGCUCGCCGUAAGCCCAAGGUUUCCUGCUCUACGUUCAUCGGAGCAGGGUGAGUCGGCCCCUAAGGCGAGGCUGAGAAGCGUAGCUGAUGGGAACAAGGUUAAUAUUCCUUGACCGCCGUUGAGUGCGAAGGGGGGACGGAGUGUUGAAGAUCAUCCGGGUGUUGGAUGUCCCGGUUUGUGAACGUAGGAGGCCGGCAGGCAAAUCCGCCGGCGUAUCUCCGAGGUGAAGCAUCGAGGUCCGUAUGGACCGAAGUGAUCGGAUGGGCUCCCAGGAAAAGCCUCUAAGCUCCAGCUCAACGGGACCGUACCGCAAACCGACACUGGUGGGCGAGCUGAAUAUGCUCAGGCGCUUGAGAGAACUCAGGAGAAGGAACUCGGCAAAUUGACACCGUAACUUCGGGAUAAGGUGUGCCUCGGUAGCGUGAAGGAAGAAACAUCCGGAGCGUGAAGAGGUCUCAGAGAAUCGGUGGCUGCGACUGUUUACUAAAAACACAGCACUCUGCAAAGACGAAAGUCGACGUAUAGGGUGUGAUGCCUGCCCGGUGCUGGAAGAUUAAUUGAUGGGGUGCAAGCUCCUGAUCGAAGUCCCAGUAAACGGCGGCCGUAACUAUAACGGUCCUAAGGUAGCGAAAUUCCUUGUCGGGCAAGUUCCGACCUGCACGAAUGGCAUAACGAUGGCCACACUGUCUCCUCCUGAGACUCAGUGAAGUUGAAGUGUUUGUGAUGAUGCAAUCUCCCCGCGGCUAGACGGAAAGACCCCAUGAACCUUUACUGUAGCUUUGCAUUGGACUUUGAACCGAUCUGUGUAGGAUAGGUGGGAGGCUGUGAAACCGGGACGCCAGUACCGGUGGAGCCGUCCUUGAAAUACCACCCUGAUUUGUUUGAGGUUCUAACCUAGGUCGGUGAUCCCGAUCGGGGACCGUGCAUGGUAGGCAGUUUGACUGGGGCGGUCUCCUCCUAAAGGGUAACGGAGGAGUGCGAAGGUACGCUAGGUACGGUCGGAAAUCGUGCUGAUAGUGCAAUGGCAAAAGCGUGCUUGACUGCGAGACCCACAAGUCGAGCAGAUACGAAAGUAGGUCAUAGUGAUCCGGUGGCUCUGUAUGGAAGGGCCAUCGCUCAACGGAUAAAAGGUACUCUGGGGAUAACAGGCUGAUACCGCCCAAGAGUUCAUAUCGACGGCGGUGUUUGGCACCUCGAUGUCGGCUCAUCUCAUCCUGGGGCUGUAG